rnacentral:rRNA from 1 species
UACGUAGGGUGCAAGCGUUAAUCGGAAUUACUGGGCGUAAAGCGUGCGCAGGCGGUUUUGUAAGUCUGUCGUGAAAGCCCCGGGCUCAACCUGGGAAUGGCGAUGGAGACUGCAAGGCUAGAGUGUGUCAGAGGGGGGUAGAAUUCCACGUGUAGCAGUGAAAUGCGUAGAUAUGUGGAGGAACACCGAUGGCGAAGGCAGGUCUCUGGGCCGAUACUGACGCUGAGGAGCGAAAGCCAGGGGAGCAAACGGG